rnacentral:rRNA from 1 species
CAGUCGCCGCGGUAAUACGAAGGGGGCUAGCGUUGUUCGGAAUUACUGGGCGUAAAGCGCACGUAGGCGGACAUUUAAGUCAGGGGUGAAAUCCCGGGGCUCAACCCCGGAACUGCCUUUGAUACUGGGUGUCUAGAGUAUGGAAGAGGUGAGUGGAAUUCCGAGUGUAGAGGUGAAAUUCGUAGAUAUUCGGAGGAACACCAGUGGCGAAGGCGGCUCACUGGUCCAUUACUGACGCUGAGGUGCGAAAGCGUGGGGAGCAAACAGGAUUAGAGACCCCUGUAGUCCCUGUCUCUUAUAC